UACAGAGGGGGCAAGCGUUGUCCGGAUUUACUGGGCGUAAAGAGCGCGCAGGCGGUCGUUCAAGUCGAGUGUGAAAGCCCCCGGCUCAACUGGGGAGGGUCACUCGAUACUGAUCGACUCGAAGGCAGGAGAGGGUAGUGGAAUUCCCGGUGUAGUGGUGAAAUGCGUAGAUAUCGGGAGGAACACCAGUGGCGAAGGCGACUACCUGGCCUGUUCUUGACGCUGAGGCGCGAAAGCUAGGGGAGCAAACGGG
rnacentral:rRNA from 1 species